UACGUAGGGUGCGAGCGUUGUCCGGAAUUAUUGGGCGUAAAGGGCUCGUAGGCGGUUUGUCGCGUCGGGAGUGAAAUCCACUGGCUUAACUGGUGGCUUGCUUUCGAUACGGGCAGACUGGAGGUAUGCAGGGGAGAACGGAAUUCCUGGUGUAGCGGUGAAAUGCGUAGAUAUCGGAAGGAACACCAGUGGCGAAAGCGGCUUCCUGGUCCAGCACCGACGUUCAGGCACGAAAGCGUGGGGAGCAAACAGG
rnacentral:rRNA from 1 species